UGAGGAAUAUUGGUCAAUGGGCGCAAGCCUGAACCAGCCAUCCCGCGUGCAGGAAGACGGCGCUAUGCGCUGUAAACUGCUUUUCCAGGGGGAGAAACUUGCGCACGUGUUGCGCAAUUGACGGUACCCUGGGAAUAAGCAUCGGCUAACCCCGUGCCAGCAGCCGCGGUAAUACGGAGGAUGCGAGCGUUAUCCGGAUUCAUUGGGUUUAAAGGGUGCGUAGGCGGACUAUUAAGUCAGUGGUGAAAUCCUGCAGCUUAACUGCAGAACUGCCAUUGAUACUGAUAGCCUUGAGUUUGGUUAAGGUAGGCGGAAUGUGUAAUGUAGCGGUGAAAUGCUUAGAUAUUACACAGAACACCAAUUGCGUAGGCAGCUUACUGAGCCGACACUGACGCUGAGGCACGAAAGCGUGGGGAUCGAACAG
rnacentral:rRNA from 1 species